GGAAACGGUAGCUAAUACCGCAUAACGUCGCAAGACCAAAGAGGGGGACCUUCGGGCCUCUUGCCAUCGGAUGUGCCCAGAUGGGAUUAGCUAGUAGGUGGGGUAAAGGCUCACCUAGGCGACGAUCCCUAGCUGGUCUGAGAGGAUGACCAGCCACACUGGAACUGAGACACGGUCCAGACUCCUACGGGAGGCAGCAGUGGGGAAUAUUGCACAAUGGGCGCAAGCCUGAUGCAGCCAUGCCGCGUGUAUGAAGAAGGCCUUCGGGUUGUAAAGUACUUUCAGCGGGGAGGAAGGGAGUAAAGUUAAUACCUUUGCUCAUUGACGUUACCCGCAGAAGAAGCACCGGCUAACUCCGUGCCAGCAGCCGCGGUAAUACGGAGGGUGCAAGCGUUAAUCGGAA
rnacentral:rRNA from 1 species